rnacentral:lncRNA from 1 species
UCUAUAGAGUGACUUCAGGGUCACUUCCGGGUCUAUAGCGUGACUUCAGGGUCACUUCCGGGUCUAUGGGGGUGGGUUCAGCGUCACUUCCGGGUCUAUGGGGUGGGUUCAGUGUCACUUCCGGGUCUAUGGGGGUCACUUCCGGGUCUAUGGGGUGGGUUCAGUGUCACUUCCGGGUCUAUGGGGUUAGUUC